GCUUUGCUAUUCAAGUGAUUGUGUUGACCACACUCUUGUAGUUCCAACACUAAGCUAAUGGUAGACACUCGCAUGCUUACAUAUGGACCAUCAAAAUGUUUGUUGGGCUAUGGUGGCAUAGAGGGUCUAGCAAAUGAUGGUGGUGGAGACAAUUGAAACAAGCAUGACCAUACUUUCCUUUGGGAUUAUGAAGACAUCAACAACAACGGAACUUUGAAUGAUGGCAAUGUUGUGUUCAAUUGAAUCAUGACUUGUUUUUGUUGAAAUUUCAAUUAAAAUUUUGAAAUUUAUUUGGAAUUUUUGUUGUUUGUGACGUGUGAGAAAUUUGUUCAUGAGUUGAAAAUUUUGUUUAUUCUGAUUUGCUCAUGUUGAAAAAUGUCCAUUAUUAGUUUGUCUUACUCCUAAUUUGUGAUUUUUCAUUUUGGAAUUAUAUGGCUUUAUCCAUUGCUAGCAUUGGAUAAUUUCAGAUACAGAUAAAAAGGAGCUAGUGAGAGAGAAGGGAGAGUGAGAGAGAUAAAGAAGAGAGGGUGAGAGAAACAAAGGAGAGAGAGAAAAUAGAUGGGGAAAAGAAUCUCAUAAUUUGAGGGUGUUGUCAUUUUUAUUAUUUUUUUUUUCUAAAUGCCAAUCAAGUCAACAAGUUAGUUGAAAAUUGAU
rnacentral:misc_RNA from 1 species